UCUCUCACGCUGUUCUGUGUCUCUAG
rnacentral:piRNA from 1 species